UGGCUAAUCCUGGUCGGACAUCAGGAGGUUAGUGCAAUGGCAUAAGCCAGCUUGACUGCGAGCGUGACGGCGCGAGCAGGUGCGAAAGCAGGUCAUAGUGAUCCGGUGGUUCUGAAUGGAAGGGCCAUCGCUCAACGGAUAAAAGGUACUCCGGGGAUAACAGGCUGAUACCGCCCAAGAGUUCAUAUCGACGGCGGUGUUUGGCACCUCGAUGUCGGCUCAUCACAUCCUGGGGCUGAAGUAGGUCCCAAGGGUAUGGCUGUUCGCCAUUUAAAGUGGUACGCGAGCUGGGUUUAGAACGUCGUGAGACAGUUCGGUCCCUAUCUGCCGUGGGCGCUGGAGAAUUGAGGGGGGCUGCUCCUAGUACGAGAGGACCGGAGUGGACGCAUCACUGGUGUUCGGGUUGUCAUGCCAAUGGCACUGCCCGGUAGCUAAAUGCGGAAGAGAUAAGUGCUGAAAGCAUCUAAGCACGAAACUUGCCCCGAGAUGAGUUCUCCCUGAGACUUAAAGUCUCCUGAAGGAACGUUGAAGACGACGACGUUGAUAGGCCGGGUGUGUAAGCGCAGCGAUGCGUUGAGCUAACCGGUACUAAUGAACCGUGAGGCUUAACCUUAC
rnacentral:rRNA from 1 species